UACAGAGGGCCCAAGCGUUGUUCGGAUUCACUGGGCGUAAAGGGUGCGUAGGCGGUCGGGUAAGUCUGAUGUGAAAUCUCACAGCUUAACUGUGAGACUGCAUUGGAUACUAUCCGGCUCGAGGAAUGGAGGGGAGACUGGAAUACUUGGUGUAGCAGUGAAAUGCGUAGAUAUCAAGUGGAACACCAGUGGCGAAGGCGAGUCUCUGGACAUUUCCUGACGCUGAGGCACGAAAGCCAGGGGAGCAAACGGG
rnacentral:rRNA from 1 species